UGAAGGCGGGCUGGAACCUCUCGGGGUUACAGCCUUGCUGAAUUAUUCACCCUUGUCUUUUGCGUACUUCUUGUUUCCUUGGUGGGUUCGCCCACCACUAGGACAAACAUAAACCUUUUGUAAUUGCAAUCAGCGUCAGUAACAAAUUAAUAAUUACAACUUUCAACAAUGGAUCUCUUGGUUCUGGCAUCGAUGAAGAACGCAGCGAAAUGCGAUAAGUAGUGUGAAUUGCAGAAUUCAGUGAAUCAUCGAAUCUUUGAACGCACAUUGCGCCCUUUGGUAUUCCAAAGGGCAUGCCUGUUCGAGCGUCAUUUGUACCCUCAAGCUUUGCUUGGUGUUGGGCGUCUUGUCUCUAGCUUUGCUGGAGACUCGCCUUAAAGUAAUUGGCAGCCGGCCUACUGGUUUCGGAGCGCAGCACAAGUCGCACUCUCUAUCAGCAAAGGUCUAGCAUCCAUUAAGCCUUUUUUUCAACUUUUGACCUCGGAUCAGGUAGGGAUACCCGCUGAACUUAAGCAUAUCA
rnacentral:rRNA from 1 species